rnacentral:rRNA from 1 species
UGGGGAAUAUUGGACAAUGGGCGAAAGCCUGAUCCAGCCAUGCCGCGUGAAUGAUGAAGGCCUUAGGGUUGUAAAGUUCUUUUGUCAGGGAAGAUAAUGACGGUACCUGAAGAAUAAGCACCGGCUAACUUCGUGCCAGCAGCCGCGGUAAUACGAAGGGUGCUAGCGUUGUUCGGAAUUACUGGGCGUAAAGAGCGCGUAGGCGGUCGUACUAGUCAGGGGUGAAAUCCCACAGCUUAACUGUGGAACUGCCUUUGAAACUGUGCGGCUGGAGUGUGUGAGGGGAUAGCGGAAUUCCUAAUGUAGAGGUGAAAUUCGUAGAUAUUAGGAGGAACACCGGUGGCGAAGGCGGCUAUCUGGCGCACAACUGACGCUGAGGCGCGAAAGCGUGGGGAUCAAACAGG